CCAAAAAAAGAGCCUGCACAGCUUGGGAGAGGUACUGCUGCUGGUGCUCCUGAUUGGGACACAUAUGCAGGGAAGGAACAGAAAUAUUAACAGAAAACCAUUCCUCACAGUGAUUUCAAUACUUUAUGUCGUCCUGGGAAAAGAUAUAUAAACAUGAAAAAAAAUGCUGGAGGCAAGAAACAAAGCAGCUUUGGAAGACAGUUGUUAUUCAUGGGCAGGUUGUGUAGCAGCGUCAAUGUGCUUCAUUCUCUGCAAGACAAAAGGUUUAAAUAGUCCUUUCUCAAAAUAUAUCACCAGUAUAAAAGUCAAGAUGUUGGAUCUAAUUCAGUUUUCAUUCAUUGUAUCCCAGUUGAAACAACUUUUGGAAAUUUAGUGUGAGAACAGUUUCCAAAAAUAGGUAUGAAAUUAAAGUAUUGAUGAUGGAGAAGACAGCAUCCAUGGAAAAAAGGUCAGGUGGCCACAGUGCUCUCCCUUCUCUUCUAUGCUUCAGAAAACUUUGGAUUUUGCAGAGUUUUGAGUGAAAAUUGAAUUCUCUUGAAUUAUUCAUUAUGUUUUCUUUGGGUCACCUUUCCCUAUAUAUUAUGCCAGCAAAAUAAACAAGUACAAGGAACCAUA